rnacentral:rRNA from 1 species
GUGAGGAAUUUUCCGCAAUGGGCGAAAGCCUGACGGAGCAAUGCCGCGUGAAGGAUGAAGGCCUAUGGGUUGUAAACUUCUUUUCUCAGAAAAGAAUUAUGACGGUAUCUGAGGAAUAAGCAUCGGCUAACUCUGUGCCAGCAGCCGCGGUAAGACAGAGGAUGCAAGCGUUAUCCGGAAUGAUUGGGCGUAAAGCGUCUGUAGGUUGUUUAAAAAGUAUUCUGUCAAAGAUUAGGGCUUAACCCUAGAUAGGCAGAAUAAACUUUUAAGCUAGAGUUUGGUAGAGGCAGAAGGAAUUCCCGGUGGAGCGGUGAAAUGCGUAGAUAUCGGGAGGAACACCAAAGGCGAAGGCACUCUGCUGGGCCAAUACUAACACUGAGAGACGAAAGCGAGGGGAGCAAAUGGGAUUAGAUACCCGAGUAGUCC